CAUGGCGGCAGGCUAUACAUGCGAGUCGAGCGCGGGAAGCGAACGGAACUCUUCGGAGGGAAGUUCGUGGAACGAGCGGCGGACGGGUGAGUAACACGUAGGCAACCUGCCUGUAAGACUGGGAUAACUCGCGGAAACGCGAGCUAAUACCGGAUAACACUUUCUAUCACCUGAUGGAAAGUUGAAAGGCGGCUUUUGCUGUCACUUACAGAUGGGCCUGCGGCGCAUUAGCUAGUUGGUGAGGUAACGGCUCACCAAGGCGACGAUGCGUAGCCGACCUGAGAGGGUGAUCGGCCACACUGGGACUGAGACACGGCCCAGACUCCUACGGGAGGCAGCAGUAGGGAAUCUUCCGCAAUGGACGAAAGUCUGACGGAGCAACGCCGCGUGAGUGAUGAAGGUUUUCGGAUCGUAAAACUCUGUUGUCAGGGAAGAACAAGUACGAUAGUAACUGAUCGUACCUUGACGGUACCUGACCAGAAAGCCACGGCUAACUACGUGCCAGCAGCCGCGGUAAUACGUAGGUGGCAAGCGUUGUCCGGAAUUAUUGGGCGUAAAGCGCUCGCAGGCGGUUCUUUAAGUCUGAUGUGAAAUCUUGCGGCUCAACCGCAAACGUGCAUUGGAAACUGGAGGACUUGAGUGCAGAAGAGGAGAGUGGAAUUCCACGUGUAGCGGUGAAAUGCGUAGAGAUGUGGAGGAACACCAGUGGCGAAGGCGACUCUCUGGUCUGUAACUGACGCUGAGGAGCGAAAGCGUGGGGAGCGAACAGGAUUAGAUACCCUGGUAGUCCACGCCGUAAACGAUGAGUGCUAGGUGUUAGGGGGUUUCCGCCCCUUAGUGCUGAAGUUAACGCAUUAAGCACUCCGCCUGGGGAGUACGGCCGCAAGGCUGAAACUCAAAAGAAUUGACGGGGACCCGCACAAGCGGUGGGAGCAUGUGGUUUAAUUUCGAAGCAACGCGAAGAACCUUUACCAGGUCUUGACAUCCUUUUGACCGCCUCUAGAGAUAGAGUUUUUCCCUUUCGGGGACAAAGUGACAGGUGCUGCAUGGACUGUCGUCAGCUCGUGUCGUGAAGAUGUCGGUAGGUUCCCGCAACGAGCGCAACCAUUAAUC
rnacentral:rRNA from 1 species